rnacentral:rRNA from 1 species
CAGACGAGGAGCUUGCUCCUCUGACGUUAGCGGCGGACGGGUGAGUAACACGUGGAUAACCUACCUAUAAGACUGGGAUAACUUCGGGAAACCGGAGCUAAUACCGGAUAAUAUAUUGAACCGCAUGGUUCAAUAGUGAAAGACGGUUUUGCUGUCACUUAUAGAUGGAUCCGCGCCGCAUUAGCUAGUUGGUAAGGUAACGGCUUACCAAGGCAACGAUGCGUAGCCGACCUGAGAGGGUGAUCGGCCACACUGGAACUGAGACACGGUCCAGACUCCUACGGGAGGCAGCAGUAGGGAAUCUUCCGCAGUGGGCGAAAGCCUGACGGAGCAACGCCGCGUGAGUGAUGAAGGUCUUCGGAUCGUAAAACUCUGUUAUUAGGGAG